AACGAACGCUGGCGGCAGGCCUAACACAUGCAAGUCGAGCGCACCCUUCGGGGCGAGCGGCGGACGGGUUAGUAACGCGUGGGAACGUACCCUUUUCUAUGGAAUAGCCUCGGGAAACUGAGAGUAAUACCAUAUAAGCCCUUCGGGGAAAGAUUUAUCGGGAAGGAUCGGCCCGCGUUAGAUUAGAUAGUUGGUGGGGUAAUGGCCUACCAAGUCUACGAUCUAUAGCUGGUUUUAGAGGAUGAUCAGCAACACUGGGACUGAGACACGGCCCAGACUCCUACGGGAGGCAGCAGUGGGGAAUCUUAGACAAUGGGCGCAAGCCUGAUCUAGCCAUGCCGCGUGUGUGAUGAAGGUCUUAGGAUCGUAAAGCACUUUCGCCAGGGAUGAUAAUGACAGUACCUGGUAAAGAAACCCCGGCUAACUCCGUG
rnacentral:rRNA from 1 species